ACAACCUGGGAGCUGGGAAGUGGGCCAGCACAGUGCUCAAAAAAAAAAAAAAGACCAUAAGACCAUGCAGUGUGAGGCUAGCCUGGUCUACACAGUGAGUUCCAGGACAGUCAGGACUAGAUUGAGAGACUCUGUCUCAAAAACAAAACAAAAUAAUAAAAAAAAUUAAUACCAUGGCAUUGCAUUCUUCUCAGUUAAUGUCAUUUUUUUUCUUAAAAGCUUAAGAAUUACUCAGAUCUGCUCAGAACCCUGCAAGCGCCAGCACACAAAUCCCCGACUUGAUAAGGUGGGAGGAAACGUCACAAGACAGACGUGAAGAAAUGAUUGGCUCCAAUCCUGCACCAAGCUGGCUCCUAACCCAAGGAGAGGGUCAGAGAGAAUCCGUUCUGCAGCUUGCAUCAACUGCAGCAGGUCAGGGUCCCCCCACCAUGCAGGUGUCCCACGCAGGCACCCGGUCAAAACACAAAGAUCACCACAAGCAGUACCUACUUUUCCUGGCACAUUAUGCCACACUCGAUGGGCUCUGCCAAUUCUCCAACGAGAAGCUGGGAAGACUUUGGUGGAACCAGGGCUUACUUUCUAGGGCAGAGACUAGAUUCCACACGCCAAGACUGCACUGUACAGAUGCCUGACGCUGUACCCGCUCCUCUGUGGUGGUUUCCAUGAAAAUGGCUCCCACAGACUCAUAGGGAACGGUCUUACGAGAGGGGCGGCCUUGUUGGUUCCAGAAGCUCAAGCCAGGCCCAGUGACUGCCUCACUCUUCCUGCUGCCUGCUGAUCUGAAUAUAGAACCCUCAGCUGCCCUUCCCACACCAUGUCUGCCUGCAUGCUGCCAUGCUUCCGGCCAUAAAGAUAAUGGUUCUCGUGUUAUUGUAGUGUGUGUUUUCCUUUACACAUGCUAAUCAUUCAAAUAGUUUUUACUUCAGUUUCAUUCAGUAUUUUAUGUUGUCACAAGUUUUGAUAACUGGAAAGAAACUUGUUUGCUAUGUCUUUAUUAUUUUGAAAACAGAUCACUUCUUAUUGUACAGAGAAUCACUGUAUAUUCACCAUGAAGAAAUUGUGUGCAGUAGAAAUAAACCCCUUUCAAACUAACCAAUUUUUGCAUUCUUUCCAAAACAUGGUCUUUCAUGUGUCCCCCUCUCCCCCACAAAUAAUGUAAAUCGUAAAUCUUUAGGUAUAGAGGUUAUAGAGACAUUUGAGAAGUCUAGAGAAGGACAUUAAUUCCUAAUCUGAAGAUUUUUUUUAAAGAUAGAGGGACAUGCAAAAAGAAUCAAACACUAUCAAAGAAUUUGUUUUGCCUUUAUAUUUCUUCUACCUCUUUUUAGUGUUAGAAUUGCAUUUUAAUUGAAGAGGUCAUGAAUUUCAGUUUUGAAGGUGGCACAGCAAUGAGUAUUUUCUGGCCCUCCUUUGUAAAGAAGAAAAUUCAGGCUAUCAGUACGAGCUCAUUAACCUGGAAUGCAUUUCAGCAUAACCUAAGCUAGUGGUCCUGGCUAAGGAUACAGACAUAAAAACAUCCCACAGAAUUUUUUCUAAAUGAACUAGAUGUUUUUGGCUGGAAUUAACUGAAAUGAGUGAUUUGGAGUUUUGACAGCAAUGUGCUGUUGCAUACUACAUCUGAUCCUGACUUCCCUGUUGUUAGGAACCAUUGUGUUUCCUCUUACCAAAUUCCUUUAUUUCCAGUCACCCAUUUUUCCAAAGUUUCUUCAUGUCACAGCAGUCUUGGAGACAGCCUUCACACAAAAGUAGUUCUUCCUUUGUCUACAAUUCCUAGUUGCUCUUUGUUCUCUAUGAAUUAACUGUUGAGUGGUCUUUUCUACACUUAGACAUUACAGAGGUAUCCAUUCAUUCUUAAGACCACACAGGAAAUUACAGGGUCCCGAUUAUGCCACAAAUUUGCCUAGAUUUUUUUCCUUGAAAUUUAAAAUUCUCUUCCAUAAGAACUAUAAAACAAAUUUCUUAACUGCCUUCCUUUCUUUGGGGACAAGGAACAGAACUAAGUGCCACUUAGCUUUGGACUCAAAGCUACAUCAAGAUUCUCAUUCUGUGCAGGAGUAGGUGAAAGGGUCUAAGAAGUGUUUGUACACAUUUACAUUGAGCAAUAUGCCUAUCUGUGCAGUAACAUCUUGACACCCGCACCCCUCCAGGUGUCAGUGAAGUCUACACUAUGAAAACAAAAUAAUCCAUUAGAAGGUCCCUACCCGUGGUCAUUCUCCAGACAGCUGUAUUGCCCAAAUAGAGUAGACAGAAUGAAUAGGUUAUACUAAUCUCCCAGGAAUAUUGCUAAACAUAAAAAGUUCUUGGCAGUAGGCUUCAGAAUGAACCUACGGAAUUCCUUAUAAUUUGAAAGGAAAGCGGUUUUAGAUUUGAAAUGUAUGUAGUUUUCUAAUAAGUCUUGAUCCAAGAUGUUUAAUUAUGUUUAAGGUUCAUUUAAAGUAAUGAAUUACUAGAGAGUUCUUCAAACUUAAUGUUAGUACAUGCAUUAUUAAUAUGAAUUGUAAAAUACAAUUCAGCCUUUUAUUGUAUUAAAUGAUUUUUUGAGCUGCAUGUAGUAAUGAACUAGUUCUCCCCAGACAUGGUGGCUUUAUAAAUAAUGUAAAAUUGACCUGUUUUUAGUUUUUAAUAAUUGGGAUUUUUCUUAAAACUAGACUGUGAUAGAAAAUGAUUGUUUAGGAAUAUUGAGUUUCAAGUUCUUAGGUCAGUGCAUAAACUAAUACUUAAUGUGAUUAUGUUUAAAUUGGGACAGCAUCUCUUUUUACUCUGUUCCUUUCCCACCCUGACAAGUGUCUAACCACAUUAGGAUUGUCUUAGUUUGCCUGUACUUCUUAAAAUUUGAAAAUCAGAUAAUUUAAAUGCUGUCUAGCAUGAAAUGUUAGGAAGAAACCACAAAUACCACAGUUCAAUAUCUUAAUCGUGCUGUUUUUCAUGGGCCAAAGGGACAACCAAAAACAUAAAACAUUAAAAAUUUAACUAUCCCAUCAUGAUUUGUGCCAACAUCCUCCCCCUCCCCCAUAUAUACACACACAUACUAAUAACUGCAAACACCACUCUGUACUUAAAACACUGUCUUGAAGUGUUUGUUCUUGGUGGUGGGUUGCUACACCACAAUCAUCUCACAGUCUUAGACUCAGCCAGGAGAUGGCUGGUUUCUUGAACAAAAGGACUUCAACCUAGAUUUCCUCAAGUUCCAGCUUGAAUUUUUCUAUUGUCAGCACUAAAAUCAUAGGCACAUUUUCCCAAGCUAUGCUUUUGUUCAGAUGUGGGUACCCAGCGUAAAUUUUUGAAAUUGGGUUACCCACCAUUAGUUUAGUUUAAUAGUGAAAUUAUUCUUAUCCAUAAUAAAAUUUAGAAAUAUUUUUCAACACCUGUAAUUUUUUUCUCAUCUUUAACAGUCACAGUUGCAGAUUAUAUUUCUAGAGCUGAGUCUCAGAGCAGACAAAGAAACCUCCCAAGGGAAACUUUGGCUAAAAACAAGAAAGAAAUGGCAAAAGAUGUGAUUGAAGAGCAUGGCCCUUCAGAAAAGGCAAUAAAUGGUCCAACUAGCGCUUCUGGCGAUGAAAUUCCUAAACUACCGCGUACUCCAGGAGAAGAAAAGACUAAGAACUUAAAAGAAGAAAGCACUCAAGAAGCAGCAGUCCUGAAUGGUGUUUCAUAACUGAAGGAAGUUCCUAGUUUACAGUUCUUUUACAUUACAGUUACAAUAGUGCUUGUACAAGCUUGCCAAAGAUAGAAUUCGGAUCGCCAGUCUUACAUCGCACUUUCAGUUCCUCCAUUUGGAAUUCAGAAAGGGGGAGGGAUCCUGAAGAAAUCAUAUGUUAAACAUACUUUGACACCUACUGUGUUAAAAAUAUAUCAUCAGAUGUGCCUUGAGAAUAGUAUAUGUAACAUUAAAAAAAGUUGCUGGCUAUAGGAAAUGUUAUUUUGUUUUCAAAAUAUGGCAGAGAUGGGAGGUGGGUGGGGUGGGGUCCCUAACGUAAUAUUCUUUAUGAAAGCAUUAGCUGCUUUUGUUACAUUUUUAAUAAUAUGCAACCACUUCUUCACCUGAGGAAAACUAGAAUGAAGCAGUUUAAAAUAUUUUGCACUGAAUUGUAAUUUCUUCAUUAGUUUAGUCUGGAAACUGGUCUGUUAUGUGUUUUAAAUGCUGUUUGUAGAGGCAAGUCUGCAGACCACUGGAAUACAUACGUUAACUCAUCUGCAGGGACACGGGGUGAUAUUGGCAGUGACUGUUCUACAUUGAGGCUUUGUUUGGUUUAUUUAUUAAAGUGUACAGUAUUUAAAAAAAAAUCAAACAUAGCU